UACGGGGGGGCAAGCGUUGUUCGGAAUUACUGGGCGUAAAGGGCGCGUAGGCGGUUUGCUAAGUUGGAUGUGAAAACUCUGGGCUUAACCCAGAGCCUGCAUCCAAAACUGGCAAACUUGAGUACUGGAGGGGAAAGCGGAAUUCCUGGUGUAGCGGUGAAAUGCGUAGAUAUCAGGAGGAACACCGGUGGCGAAGGCGGCUUUCUGGACAGUAACUGACGCUGGAGGCGCGAAAGCCUAGGGGAGCAAACAGG
rnacentral:rRNA from 1 species